rnacentral:tRNA from 1 species
GCCCAGGUGGUGGAAUUGGUAGACACGCCGGCCUUAGGAGCCGGUGCCGCAAGGCGUGAGAGUUCGAGUCUCUCCUUGGGCACCA